GGCUUCGUGGCUCAGCUGGUAGAGCGUUUGCCGCGAUGAAAUAACCUGUGCCUGUCGCUGGUUCGAAUCCAGCCGAAGCCA
rnacentral:tRNA from 1 species